rnacentral:rRNA from 1 species
CAAGGAAUAUUGGUCAAUGGGCGCAAGCCUGAACCAGCCAUGCCGCGUGCAGGAAGACGGCCCUAUGGGUUGUAAACUGCUUUUGUCAGGGGAUAAACCCCCGCUCGUGAGCGGGGCUGAAGGUACCUGAAGAAUAAGCAUCGGCUAACUCCGUGCCAGCAGCCGCGGUAAUACGGAGGAUGCAAGCGUUAUCCGGAUUCAUCGGGUUUAAAGGGUGCGCAGGCGGAUUGGUAAGUCAGGGGUGAAAUCCCACAGCUCAACUGUGGAACUGCCUUUGAUACUGUCAGUCUAGAGUAUAGUUGAAGUGGGCGGAAUGUGUCAUGUAGCGGUGAAAUGCUUAGAUAUGACACAGAACACCGAUCGCGAAGGCAGCUCGCUAAGCUAUAACUGACGCUCAUGCACGAAAGCGUGGGGA